GGGGCUGUGGCUCAGUGGUAGAGUGCUCGCCUAGCAUGUGUGAGGCCCUGAGUUCAAUCCUUGGCACCA
rfam:Ictidomys tridecemlineatus contig101805, whole genome shotgun sequence.